rnacentral:rRNA from 1 species
UACGAAGGGGGCGAGCGUUGUCCGGAUUUAUUGGGUUUAAAGGGUGCGUAGGCGGCUUAUUAAGUCAGGGGUGAAAGACGGUGGCUCAACCAUCGCAGUGCCUUUGAUACUGAUGAGCUUGAAUAUACUGGAGGUAGGCGGAAUGUGACAAGUAGCGGUGAAAUGCAUAGAUAUGUCACAGAACACCAAUUGCGAAGGCAGCUUACUACGGUAUGAUUGACGCUGAGGCACGAAAGCGUGGGGAUCAAACAGG